GCUCUCGACGCGCCCAGCGUGAUCCUGUGGAUCCAGCUGGCCGCAGGCUAUGGGCUGGGCGGCGAUUGAGACAGCGGCGAUAUUGGGAGGGGUAGGUGAGGGUGCCGAGGCUGCGUGAGCUUCUGAGUGAACGCGGUGCUUUUGGGAACGCGGGACGGGCGACCUGUGGCGCCAGGAGCGGGACGAGGCGCGGCGGCGCGGCUGCCGUCUGGAUGGGAAGUUACGGUUUACAUCGAAGUCCACCCAGCGUUUCCGAGGUGAAGGCGCCAAGCCAGGCCGGGCGGGCGGCUGGUGAUGGGCAAGCCAGGUGUACCAAGUCCAGGAUGCACAUGAGGAGCGUUUGCAGCCAUCACUGAAUCACCUCAUGACUAGCGGGGCAAGCCUCAAAUUCACCGCAGGAUUUCUGACAGGGCCUCACUCUGUUGUCCAGGCUAGAUUGCCGUGGCAGGAUCUCAGCUCACUGCAACCUCCACCUCCUGGCUCAAGUGAUCCUCCCACCUCAGCCUCCUGAGUAGCUGUGACUAUAGGAGUGUGCCACCAUGCCUGGCUAAUUUUCAUAUUUUUUGUAGAGAUGGGGAUUCAACAUGUUUCCCAGGCAAUCUGAAAGCAAAUCCUGUUUAGAUGCAGGCGAAGGUUCCUGGUGACCCAGGCUCCCACCUUACCAUCCCUUACCGUCCUCCUGAGGGUGUCUGGAGCUUCAGUGCUGUGUGCUCUUGGCCUCCACGCUGGGGGUGCCACCAACUCCCACUGUCCAGGGCUUCCAGUGGACUCUCCGAGGCACUGAUGUAGAAACUUCCCCAUUCGGUGCACCAAGAGCAGCCUCACACGAUGUGGGCCGAAUGAAGAGCUGCCAGAUCCCACAGAAAUGUGAUUGAUAACAGUAAAGCCACACUCCUCAAGUGCCUGAAAUACCCCUCAUUGUCUUCUUCAGGUGGCAAGGGCUCUGGAACAGCCACAUAAAGGGGACUGAGGGCCCUUUUUCUGUGCUGGCUGUCAGCGGGGAGACACUCUACUCUGACUCCAGAGGCCACGUGCUUUCCUCCUUACCUGUCUGUUUCAUCUUUCAACCAAUAACAACUCAUGGAGUCCUUCUCAAGCUCCCACCUUCUCUGACUUCAUCUUCUCCAACCAGCCACACAAAGCUCUGUCACGUAUGGAGUGAUGUGAUUAGAUCCAGUUCAUGCGCCCUUGAAGAUAAGGAUGGUCAAACAAAAUAAUAUACCUGGAGAAACUCAGAUCUUGCUAAGAUUUACUGGUUGGGAAUCCAAAGUUAAUGCCAAGAAGCAGCCGCCAGUUGGGAUCAAAUGUGAGCCUAUGGAUCAAGAAAUGACUUAUAGGGGAGAGAAACACGUACUUGGAAAGAAUUGACCCAGCUGAAUUGGAAAAUGUGGGAAGGGGAUGGGGAAGAGGCUGCUCCACCUGAGAUCUGGCUCCAGGACUUACAGCAAGGGGAACUUGGGCAACUUACAGACUCUCUGUGCCUCAGUUUCUUCAUCAGCAAAACAGAAAGGAUCAUCCCAUAAACUAUAAGGUCGAUGGUAUCAGCGGGUCCCCAAACUGACUGCACAUCUGAGUCAUGUUAACAAACACAUUCCAGUCCCCACCUGAGCCCUCUGAAUCAGAAUCCCUGCAAGGAGGACGAUGAACUUGUAUUUGCACUAACUUUCCCAGCUGUUUCUUACUCUGAUCAACUUGGGGGUAGGACCCAUUGAGCUGCAUCACAUCAUUCCAAAGCCAAAACACAACAGCAGAACAAGAAUAUUUUCAAUGCAGUCUCUAAAGCAGAGGGAACCUAGAAGUAAAGGAAACCUGGCUUGCUGGUCUCCAUUUAAACUUUGAGUACAGCAGAGACAAGAGCCCUUCGGGACACAUGCCUGAGGCAGUGAUAGUCCAGCUUUGGAAGAGUGGAAGCCCUAGUUUCAAAUUGAAGCAUGCUUUGAGUAGAAAUUAAGUUUACCUCU